UUAAACAGGGAAUGAUCUGCAACCAAUCAGAUAUCUCCCUUGUUUUAGCCAAUCACAAGAACGCACCCCACGUGGGGGAUUGUUUACUUAUAAGCCAAUUGAGAAUGAGUAGGUGUCGUCAGGGCACAGCGCCCCGCCCCUUCCUCCAUUUUGAACUGCUCAUGUUCAUUGUUUAUGUUGGUUGCUGAGACGUCGGAUUUAUCGGGUGGCUGCAAUUAGAAGAAAGGACUUUACUUCCUGAGAUGAGAGUGUGUUCUCUGCAUGUUAAUUUGGGGACUAAGGAACAAACGGAGGCUGCACUAGCAUCACCAGAAGGGAGAGAUGAGGAGGAGAGGGAAAGCAAAAGAUGUUGAAUAGAUUUGCUAUAUUAGAGAUUGCCAUUCAAAAAAUAAAUGCAUCAAAUUAA